AGUCGAGCGGAUCGAUGGGAGCUUGCUCCCUGAGAUCAGCGGCGGACGGGUGAGUAACACGUGGGUAACCUGCCUGUAAGACUGGGAUAACUCCGGGAAACCGGGGCUAAUACCGGAUAACUCAGUUCCUCGCAUGAGGAACUGUUGAAAGGUGGCUUCUCCUUCCACUUUCCGAUUGACCCCCCGCCCCAUAACUUGUUUGUGAAGGAACCGCUCCACCAGGCCACCAUUCCUAACCCAACUGAAAAGGUGAUCCGCCACCCUGGGACUGAAACCCCGCCCAGAAUCCCACCGGAAGCCACCAUAAGGAAUCCUCCGCAAUGGACCAAAGUCCGACCGAACCACGCCCCCUGAAUUAAGAAAGGUUUCCGAACCUAAAACUCCGGUGGUAAGGAAGAACCAGUGCCGGUCGAAUAAGGCGGCCCCUUGACCGUUCCUUACCCGAAAGCCACCGGCUAACUACCUGGCCACCGCCGCCGUUAUACCUAAGUUGCCAGCCGUGUCCGGAA
rnacentral:rRNA from 1 species